ACCACACACCCAUUCACUACUGUGUGUUUGCCCAUUGCUGUGCAAGUGUUUUGUUUGUUUUUAAGUGUUUGUCUUAUUUUCUUAACCAGACUGCCAGAUGGCCCUAUGCCCUCUGUUGGCCUGUCUGUGCCCUGGUGGCUCUGAUUACUUGUUUCUGUUUUUUUUUUUUUUUUUUUUUUUUUUUGAGACGGAGUUUUGCUUUUGUCGCCCAGGCUGGAGUGCUAUGGCACAAUCUUGGUUCACUGCAACCUCUGCCUUCCGGGUUCAAGCGAUUCUCCUGCCUCAGCCUCCAGAGUAGCUGGGAUUACAGGCGCCCGCCACCAAACCUGGCUAAUUUUUAUAUUUUUAGUAGAGUCGGGAUUUCACCAUGUUGGCCAGGCUGGUCUCAAACUCCUGGCCUCAGGUGAUCCACCCACCUCGGCCUCCCAAAGUGCUGGGAUUACAGGUGUGUUUUUUGUUUUUUUAAGAGAUGGAGUCUUGCUAUGUUGCCCAGGCUGGCCUUGAACUCCUGGGCUCAGGCAAUCCUUCUGCCUCAGCCUUCCCAGUAGAUGGGUCACUGUGAUGAUUUGAAUUGAAUUCUGUGAUGUGUAAGAAAAGCAGCCUGCAAGGCAAGCACAGAUGGGGCAGCUUUUGUUCUGAGAAAUUCGUGCCCUUACUGAACUUGGGUCUGGCUAUUUUUGGAACAUGGCCAGCAUCAAGUUCUAACCCACAACACGGUCUUUUUGGAGUAGCAUGAAUUCAGGAGAAAUCUGGCUGCAUAGUCAAGCCCUCACCCCUUCCAUCCUGUGCACGAACUGUUUCGAGUAUCAGAUGUUCCAGGCAGAGCCAGCCAGAGUGAGCUGUUCCUUCUCUGGAGCGUGAUCUGGUAUCCCUGAACGCCUGUUGGCCUCAUCUCCACCAACCCCUGCAGUCUCUGCCCCUGAGUCCCCCUCCUUCCAUCCGCCUCCCCUUACUAGAGCCUCAGCCCUCCCUCCUCGCCUGGAAGCCUUGCCCCCGCCCCCUUGUGCUGGCUGGAGCUCAAGCCUCUUCCUGUGUCGCAGCUCCGCCCAGUUGAACACACCCGCUGGGGAAGGUGCCUCUGUUCCCUCCCCACACACUCUGGGCCUGAGCUGACAGAGAUGGACCAUCGAAAAGCCAGGGUCUUCCCAGCUGGGCACUACUGCCCCUCGCUAGGAAUAUGGGCCUCGCAGGUCGGCAGCGUGAGGUCCUCUGUGCCACCUUCCAUCAGGUAGCUGUCACCGAGGAGCAUGUUGCAGUGCCGGUGGGGGGCUGCCUUGCAUGCAAGGAGCCUGGCAGCAGCGGAGGGCAAGGCUUUGAGUGAGGUGGCCCCGACAGCCAUAGCUGAGGAGCAUGGAGCCACUGGGAGGGGGCAGUGUCACCUUUUUUGGCCUUCCUCCUGGGUGGAAAUACAGCGCCUCCGGCUUGAACCUGCCACUCAGGUGUCUUGAUGUGUCGGGGGUGUGGCUGCCUGCCCCCUGAUGCUCCCUGCCCCACCCCGUGCAGCAGGAACCCAGCCAUGGUGAACGAAGCCAGAGGAAACAGCAGCCUCAACCCCUGCUUGGAGGGCAGUGCCAGUAGUGGCAGUGAGAGCUCCAAAGAUAGUUCGAGAUGUUCCACCCCGGGCCUGGACCCCGAGCGGCAUGAGAGACUCCGGGAGAAGAUGAGGCGGCGAUUGGAAUCUGGUGACAAGUGGUUCUCCCUGGAAUUCUUCCCUCCUCGAACUGCUGAGGGAGCUGUCAAUCUCAUCUCAAGGUAAACUGAUGCAAGGUUAAGGUGGGAGGGGGGAGUGGUGGUGCCUGGGGAGCGAACUGUCAGCCCUGAGGCUGGGCUGCCCUUUAACCCGGCAGAAAAAAGCAGCCGGAGGGGGCAGGAAGGAGAAGGGAGAGUGGGUCAUCUGAUCUGCAACUUCUCCGUUGCCUGUAAAAGUGCCUCCACAGUGUCAAGGUAUUUUAGACACACUCUUCAAUGGGUUAAAAAUGUUGAUUCUCACACUGUAUUCUUUGAGGGAACUUGGGGGCUGGAUCACGAGUGCAGUUUAGGAAGUCACAAAGCAGUGAGAUCGUUUUCAGCAAGUUAGAAAUUUGGAUUAUGCUUCUUGAACUCUAGAAAUGCCAACUGAAUUACAUUAGCACUUCAUGAAUUGCAGUUUUUUUUAAGUUUAUGCCUUUUACUGUAUGCACGUCUCACGUGUCACUCCCAAGUUUUUGAAGUUUAAAUGCACAAGGAUGUUUAAAUACACCGUUGAUAGCUUGUAACACAAGUACUCGUGCACAUCCAGGCUUUUUUUUUUGAGUCUUGUUUCGGAACUUGGCCUUGGUCUGCACAACUGUAAGCUGCUGCACAGGGCUUGGGGGGUGGCAUGAAAGAAAGUGAGUCUGCUGACCCUCUUUCUAACUGUUCCUACAGCGAGGCUGUGCUUGCCACAGUUAGGAUUCCCCUAACUCUCAACCAUGAUGUCUUAACUCACCUGAGAUAAUAAACAGGCAAGCGCUGUGAAAAGUCUGAAGUGCUGCUCUCACACAAAAUGAUAGCGCUGUUGUUGUGUCUUACCUCUGUAAUAGUGAUCAUAACGGCACCUCACAUAUACUGAGUAUUCGGUUUGUACACCAGGCACUGUUCUAAGUUCUGUGGAACCAGCUGCCGUCAUAUUCUCCUAGUGUUAUGGUUUUUUGUUGUUGCCUUCUUCUUUAUUAUUUUGGAACAAAUUCCUGGUAAUGGAUUUCAGAAUCAUUCCUAAGAUUGUUUGUAGGAGGUUUAAAACUCUGUGCAAAUGUGCACGUUUGCUACAUUCUCCCAGGAGGCAGGAGCCCCAAGGCCGUGGGAUGGGAGAGGGUGGCAGGCGUGCCCAGGUAGAAGUAGGGAAGGGCUCUCCAAUCCUCCAGGCACAGUGAGGAGCAGCGGUGGUCUCCUAUUCACCGCCAGCACAGGGUCAGCAUGCAGUGAAUAUUGAACUGGUGGGCUGCUUUUUUCCCUCCUGCUGUCUUACCAAGUGCUAGAAAGAGACGAACCAAACCUAAAUAAUAUGAAGUUUCUGCCUUCCAGGGACUCACAGUCCUGGGUGUCGGGGCUAGGUAGAGGGAACAGAAAGGGUCUCUGGAGGUUGGGUGAGACCCAGUGACUAUGACCUCCACCAACCCUGCAGACCCCAUAGGUGACCAGUGGGAAGAGGAGGAGGGAGGCUUCAACUACGCAGUGGACCUGGUGAAGCACAUCCGAAGUGAGUUUGGUGACUACUUUGACAUCUGUGUGGCAGGUGAGUGGCUGGAUCAUCCUGGUGGCGGGGAUGGAGCUAGGGAGGCUGAGAUGCCCAGAGAGCCUGUCGGUGUUUGGUUCAGGACACAGUGAUCAGGGGCACUCAUGGGUCCAUGCUGGGUGAAGGACAUGCAGAGGUGAACUGCACCGUGUCCUUGCUCCUUUUGUAUCACCCACUCCCCUCCUGGGCCUGCCACCAUCGACCCCUAGCUUUUUGUUCCUCUGCCUGGCUGUGCCCUUAGCCUGCU
rnacentral:lncRNA from 1 species